GAUGAAGAACGUAGCGAAAUGCGAUAAGUAAUGUGAAUUGCAGAAUUCAGUGAAUCAUCGAAUCUUUGAACGCACAUUGCGCCCGCCAGUAUUCUGGCGGGCAUGCUUGUUCGAGCGUCAUUUCAACCAUCAAGCCCCCGGCUUGUGUUGGGGACCUGCGGCUGCCGCAGGCCCUGAAAAGCAGUGGCGGGCUCGCUGUCACACCGAGCGUAGUAGCAUACAUCUCGCUCUGGGCGUGCUGCGGGUUCCGGCCGUUAAACCACCUUCAUAACCCAAGGUUGACCUCGGAUCAGGUAGGAAGACCCGCUGAACUUAAGCAUAUCAAUAAGCGGAGGA
rnacentral:misc_RNA from 1 species